rnacentral:rRNA from 1 species
AGUGAACGCUGGCGGUAGGCCUAACACAUGCAAGUCGAACGGCAGCACAGUAAGAGCUUGCUCUUACGGGUGGCGAGUGGCGGACGGGUGAGGAAUACAUCGGAAUCUACUUUUUCGUGGGGGAUAACGUAGGGAAACUUACGCUAAUACCGCAUACGACCUACGGGUGAAAGCAGGGGAUCUUCGGACCUUUCGCGAUUGAAUGAGCCGAUGUCGGAUUAGCUAGUUGGCGGGGUAAAGGCCCACCAAGGCGACGAUCCGUAUCUGGUCUGAGGGGAUGAUCAGCCACACUGGAACUGAGAAACGGUCCAGACUCCUACGGGAGGCAGCAGUGGGGAAUAUUGGACAAUGGGCGCAAGCCUGAUCCAGCCAUACCGCGUGGGUGAAGAAGGCCUUCGGGUUGUAAAGCCCUUUUGUUGGGAAAGAAAAGCAGCAGGUUAAUACCCCGCUGUUCUGACGGUACCCAAAGAAUAAGCACCGGCUAACUUCGUG